UAGCACUAAAUUGAUUUUCUGUCUCUAUCAUUCUUACAUAAAAUAAUAUCUAGACGUCUCAAGUCACUUGGACUAAAAUCGCUGUUUUCAUAAAGUGGAACGCAGGGACAGCUGACCGAUCGUGAAUUAAUUAAAUCACCAAGUCAACUCACAAUGAACAACAGUGCGUUCAUGGACAGACUGCGCUCGUUUCUCGGGAUACGACAGGAGCCUCCUGCAAACGAUUUUCGCAAUCCGAUUUGGGGCUCUGACGACGAAGACGACGGCGAUGAACUCUACACGAGAAACGAGAUGGAAUCCUUCGAGGAGUCUAUGGAUAUGCACCGAGAAUUCACUAAACAGAUGCACGAUAUGCUUAAAUCUUUCGGAAGUAUGUUCGGGGACAUGAGGUUGUUUUUCCAAGACGACCAGUUCGAGAACUUUCCAGGCCUCACGGACGGGGUCGCAGAAGGUAGUGGCAUGAACAGUAGUAGCCUGCGGGACUACUAUUUAAAGCCAGGUUACCUUGGCCACAAAGUUGAGCAUCCUAAAGAAGACAUCGAUUUGGACGGCAAAAUCUCUUCACAUGAAAUAUCAGGUUUGUUGAAACAGAAAGAAAGUGACCAGAAUGCGGGACCUGCCGUGCCUUUCGAUGGAAGCAUGGUGCCUGGAAGGUCUUUCUGUCAGACAAUUAUCACAACCAGUGUUACAAAACCAGAUGGAACAGUGGAAACCCCGAAGGGAUCAUUAAGAAUGGAAAUGAAGUAAUUGAAGAGACCACAACAUCAGCCCCUGAUAGCAGAGGGCCAGGACCAUACAACCAAAGCAUGGAUACAUUUAAUAACGCAGGAUUCAUCUACAACCAAGUCAUGUCGGAGCUUUCUACAUUAUUUAAAAAUUUCUAUUAAACUUGUAUCAUUUAGUCAUACCAGUUCUGAAUGUUUAGUCUUUUAAAAUUCUACAUAUAGUAUCUUUCCAAACAAACAAUGCUUUUGUUUAUAUAAAUGUGAUAAAUGGGAAUAAAAAUGGAAUAUUGCCAAACUUAUGCUUAGCUUUGUAUUUUAUUUUACAAAUACUUUAAAAUGUAUUUGAAAGUCUCAAAUUGUAAUUGUUAGAUUAUAUUGUGAUAUAAUAGAUUUAAUAUUUCCAUGCUUCACAUGAAAUGAUUUCACAGUUACAAUUGAACUUUAAUGGCUGGUUUAAAAUAUGCUAUCUGAAAUUUUAUGUAUUAUGUAUUAAUUAUUUGCUAAAUAUUUAUUGAGCCAUUAAAGCAUUACUACUUAAUAAAUGUUCAGACCACAGGA